rnacentral:lncRNA from 1 species
AAAAUAAUUAAAUUAAUUUUACACUUUCCGAAACAUAAUUUAAACAUUCCUAGUUGCAGUAAGUUGAUACUCUGAUCAUUCUGGUUGUUUUUUUUAUUUUUAAUUUAGAUUCCGAAUAAGUUAGUGGAUGUAGAUGAGGUGAUAUACCGUAAAUUAUUAAUGCUCGCGUAACAGGAAAGAGCUGUUGGUGACAGAUUUUACUUGCUCUGUAAUUCUGUAAUAUGUGCUGCUUGGAUUGCCAAUCGAUUUAUCUGUCCCUGGCGGCAGAUGCACAGCACAGUAACCAUCCCUCUUCUCUUGUGCUACAGUGACAGAUAUUACAUUAAAACAUUGACAGAUAUUACUACAACUCUCCUAAUUAUUCUUGUUUCCAAAAUAUCGGUUUAUAAUAGUUAAGCAUGGUGGUUUAAGCAUAUUUUUCCUCUUCAUAUUGGCAAAUGAUGCGAAAUUCCUAAAAUAAUUUUAGAGAGUUAAGCGAGUUUUUACUUCCUGUUCCUUGUAUAGAGAGGUACGUAUAUACUUUUUCCGUAACUUACUGCACAAAAGUGUCAUAUUAUACUAUCGGAUAUAUAGUAUUAAUAAUUGUUUUAUCAGAUGAGAAAAUAUACCAAUGUCAUUCUGCGAGAAAGUAAGAAUAUUAUACAGAUAUCAUUUCUUGAAGUAAGAAAAUAUCUUAUACAGGUAUUAUUUUGUGAGGAAAGAUUAUUUUAUAUAAAUCGUUUCGUGAGGAAAGAAAAUAUAAGAUUCUUUCGUGAGGUAAGAAACUAUCUUAUACACGUAUCAUUCUGUGAGGUCAGAAAAUAAAGAAGUAUCAUUUAUUGAGGUAAGAAAAAAUAUUUUACAUCAAUCAUUUUGUUGGAAC